CAGGUGCUGUGGUGCAUACCUGUAGUCCCAGCUCCUCGGGAGAAUGAGGUGGUAGGAUCGCUUGAGCCCAGGAGUUCUGGGCUGUAGUGCGCUAUGCCGAUCAGGUAUCCACACUAAGUUUGGCAUCAAUAUGCUGACCUCCCAGGAGCAGGGGACCACCAGGUUGCCUAAGGAGGGGUGAACCAGCCCAGGUCGGAAACAGAGCAGGUCAAAACUCCUGUGCUGAUCAGCAGUGAGGUGGUGACUGUGAAUAGCCACUGCACUCCAGCCUGGGCAACAUAGAGAGACCCAGUCUCUA
ensembl:misc_RNA Metazoa_SRP Metazoan signal recognition particle RNA